rnacentral:rRNA from 1 species
GAUGAACGCUAGCUACAGGCUUAACACAUGCAAGUCGAGGGGCAGCAUGGUCUUAGCUUGCUAAGGCUGAUGGCGACCGGCGCACGGGUGAGUAACACGUAUCCAACCUGCCGUCUACUCUUGGCCAGUCUUCUGAAAGGAAGAUUAAUCCAGGAUGGCAUCAUGAGUUCACAUGUCCGCAUGAUUAAAGGUAUUUUCCGGUAGACGAUGGGGAUGCGUUCCAUUAGAUAGUAGGCGGGGUAACGGCCCACCUAGUCAACGAUGGAUAGGGGUUCUGAGAGGAAGGUCCCCCACAUUGGAACUGAGACACGGUCCAAACUCCUACGGGAGGCAGCAGUGAGGAAUAUUGGUCAAUGGGCGAUGGCCUGAACCAGCCAAGUAGCGUGAAGGAUGACUGCCCUAUGGGUUGUAAACUUCUUUUAUAAAGGAAUAAAGUCGGGUAUGCAUACCCGUUUGCAUGUACUUUAUGAAUAAGGAUCGGCUAACUCCGUGCCAGCAGCCGCGGUAAUACGGAGGAUCCGAGCGUUAUCCGGAUUUAUUGGGUUUAAAGGGAGCGUAGAUGGAUGUUUAAGUCAGUUGUGAAAGUUUGCGGCUCAACCGUAAAAUUGCAGUUGAUACUGGAUGUCUUGAGUGCAGUUGAGGCAGGCGGAAUUCGUGGUGUAGCGGUGAAAUGCUUAGAUAUCACGAAGAACUCCGAUUGCGAAGGCAGCCUGCUAAGCUGCAACUGACAUUGAGGCUCGAAAGUGUGGGUAUCAAACAGGAUUAGAUACCCUGGUAGUCCACACGGUAAACGAUGAAUACUCGCUGUUUGCGAUAUACGGCAAGCGGCCAAGCGAAAGCGUUAAGUAUUCCACCUGGGGAGUACGCCGGCAACGGUGAAACUCAAGGGAAUUGACGGGGGCCCGCACAAGCGGAGGAACAUGUGGUUUAAUUCGAAGCAAUGCGAAGAACCUUACCAAGUCUUGACAUCCUUCUGACCGUUCCUUAGCCGGAACUUCUCUUCGGAGCAGAAGAGACAGGUGGUGCAUGGUUGUCGUCAGCUCGUGUCGUGAGAUGUUGGGUUAAGUCCCGCAACGAGCGCAACCCUUAUCCUUAGUAGCCAGCGGUUCGGCCGGGCACUCUGGGGAGACUGCCGGAGAUAAUCCGGAGGAAGGUGGGGAUGACGUCAAAUCAUCAUGCCCCUUAUGACUUGGGCUACACACGUGCUACAAUGGCGGUAACAAAGGGAAGCAGCCUCGCGAGAGUGAGCAAACCCCAAAAAUGCCGUCUCAGUUCGGAUUGUAGUCUGCAAACUCGACUACAUGAAGCUGGAAUCGCUAGUAAUCGCAGAAUCAGAAUGCUGCGGUGAAAUACGUUCCCGGGUUCU